GAAAGAGUGCACCACAACUUCAACCCCCAAACUCCCAAUACCAACACCCAACCCCACCAUCAUCAAAAAUACAGACACUUCUCACCUCCCCUACACCAUGAUGUAUGUCCUUCUGGUUUUCCUGGUCACCACUCUGUUAAUGGCCAGUCUCCUGGGUGGAUGGAGGGAACAUGGCUGUUACGCAAACUCUGAAAAGGAACUCCAGUUGCCUACCAGGGACACCUCAGCCAACGAUCAGCUUCAUCAUCAGCCAAACUACCCAACUUCACUGACGCUGAACAUUACUGAAGGGAUUCCCAUGAUGACACUCGCUCACAGUGCUGCCAAGACUGAGUUUAACCCCCUUGUCACACCCCUGCUGCCAGACAGAGAGC